AAAAUAUUUCUUGUUAUUCCGCUCUUCUUCUUUCCUCUCAUGAUCGCCAAUUUCCUCUACUAUUCCAUCUCACAUUAACCAGAUAGACAUGUUGGGCAGAUUGAUGGGUGUUGGCACGAGGUCUUUGGCGUAUGAUUGUGAUGAUAUUGUGGCACGAGAUCGUUGUCAUGUGAUUGUGAUAAUAUUGUGGCGCAAGGUGUUUGCCAUGCGAUUGUGAUGAUAUUGUGGCAUGAGAUCUAGGUGUUGGAGAUAACACAUUUCGAGAAAGAGCUUUUGUCUGUUUGAGAGGAUUCAAGUUAGUGCUGCAUGGACGCCGCAGA